ensembl:lncRNA
UUGAGGGAAGUUUCUAUAUUUUUUCAAACCAAACAAGGCUCUUCCUUUUAUUCUGUUUAGCUAAUAAACCCAAUGUGGCGCCUCACAUUUUUAUUUCCAGCACUCAGGAGGCUGAAGUAGGAAGAUCACUUUAAUCCAGGAGUUUGAGAUCAACAUGGGUAACUUAGCAAGACCCUAUCUCAAAAAACAAACAAACAAACCCUCAAAAUCAAGGGAACAUACGACUAUCAGAAGAAGUAUGUCUAGAAAGGUCUGCGGGUUAGUUAGCUCAUUGGUAGAGCCCUUGCGUAGCAUGCAGGAGGUCCUGGGUUUGGUGCCCAGUACCAAAAAAAGAAAGAAGAGUGAUUAUAAUUAUGGAUUUUAAAGCUCUAUUAAUACCUCAGAUGGUCCAAGAUUCUUUUCAGAUGGUAUGUUUUCAGCUGGAAUCUGAAGACAAGGGUAGACGGAUGGAGAAGCUAGACCUGUCCUAAGGCUGUCACGCCUGCAUGGCCAUCUGAACCUACUCCCCAGCCAUAUCUGCUCCCUCUUCUUGAGGAACAAGUCUCCAAUAAACUUCUUCUUGGAGGACUCAGAUACACACAGGGACACCCAGGGAGGAAACUUUGUGAAAACUUCCAUGAAGCGAGCAGUUUUUCUCUACCAUACACUUCCACCAUGAUGAUGAUUCUGCCUUGGGGCCAGCUGAUUAUGGACUGAAACCUCUGAAACCAUGAGCCAAAAUAAACCUCUUCUCCUUUAAGUUGUCUAUGUAAG